rnacentral:misc_RNA from 1 species
GAUGAAGAACGCAGCGAAAUGCGAUACGUAGUGUGAAUUGCAGAAUUCAGUGAAUCAUCGAAUCUUUGAACGCACAUUGCACCUCUCGGUAUUCCGGGAGGUAUGCCUGUUCGAGCGUCAUUUGUACCCUCAAGCUCUGCUUGGUGUUGGGUGUUUGUUCCGCCUCUGUGUGUGAACUCGCCUCAAAACAAUUGGCGGCCGGCGUACUUGUUUCGGAGCGCAGCACAUUUUGCGAUCCAGAUCAACGUACAGCGGCAUCCAAGAAGCCUUAUUUAACGCUCUUGACCUCGGAUCAGGUAGGGAUACCCGCUGAACUUAAGCAUAUCAAUAAGCGGAGGA